rnacentral:pre_miRNA from 1 species
AAAAAGGCAAACCCUAAAUUUUCGUGCCAACGUUUAACUGUCCGUCUUAUAUGAAAUUUUUUUAUAAUUAGUAUUUUCAUUGUUGUUAAAUGAUAAAACAUAAUUAAUACUUUAUGCGUGACUUAUCUUUUUAAUUUUUUCAUAAUUUUUUUAAAUAAAACGGACGAUCAAACGUUGGACACGGAAACU